rnacentral:tRNA from 2 species
AAAGAAUUAGUUAAAAAAUAACAUUAGAAUGUCAAACUGAAAUUAUUAAUUUAUUAAUAUUCUUUG